rnacentral:rRNA from 1 species
AUUGAACGCUGGCGGCAGGCUUAACACAUGCAAGUCGAGCGAGCGGCGGACGGGUGAGUAAUGUCUGGGAAACUGCCUGAUGGAGGGGGAUAACUACUGGCAACGGUAGCUAAUACCGCAUACCAUCAGAUGUGCCCAGAUGGGAUUAGCUAGUGGGUGGGGUAAUGGCUCACCUAGGCGACGAUCCCUAGCUGGUCUGAGAGGAUUACCAGCCACACUGGAACUGAGACACGGUCCAGACUCCUACGUGAGGCAGCAGUGGGGAAUAUUGCACAAUGGGCGCAAGCCUGAUGCAGCCAUGCCGCGUGUGUGAAGAAGGCCUUCGGGUUGUAAAGCACUUUCAGCGAGGAGGCGUUACUCGCAGGAGAAGCACCGGCUAACUCCGGGCCAGCAGCCGCGGUAAUAC